UGGGGAAUAUUGCACAAUGGGGGAAACCCUGAUGCAGCGACGCCGCGUGAACGAAGAAGGUAUUCGUAUCGUAAAGUUCUGUCCUAUGGGAAGAUAAUGACAGUACCAUAGAAGAAAGCUCCGGCUAAAUACGUGCCAGCAGCCGCGGUAAUACGUAUGGAGCGAGCGUUGUCCGGAAUUAUUGGGCGUAAAGGGUACGCAGGCGGUUUAAUAAGUCGAAUGUUAAAGAUCGGGGCUCAACCCCGCAAAGCAUUGGAAACUGAUAAACUUGAGUAGUGGAGAGGAAAGUGGAAUUCCUAGUGUAGUGGUGAAAUACGUAGAUAUUAGGAGGAAUACCAGUUGCGAAGGCGACUUUCUGGACACAAACUGACGCUGAGGUACGAAAGCGUGGGGAGCAAACAGG
rnacentral:rRNA from 1 species